rnacentral:lncRNA from 1 species
AUUUAAUUCUUAAUUAAAUUGGGUCAAGACCUUCCUACUUAGUUUGACUAAUGUGCGUGACUCCGAUAGGUUCGAACACUAAGCCGGUAGUACAUGGACAACUCCAUGCACUAAUCGAGGUGACCAUCUAGCAAUGAUACCCGACGUCCGGAUAGGUCGAAUAUGCAAAGCAACAUUCAAGAACCUAGACGUAUGGUUGUUGCAUAAUUCAUCCCUAUGACCAUCGAUGCUCAAGAUGACC